AAUUGAACGGCAGCACGGACUUCGGUCUGGUGGCGAGUGGCGAACAGGUGAGUAAUGUAUCGGAACGUGCCCUGGUAGCCAGGGAUAACACGCGCGAAAGCGUAGCUAAUGCCGCAUACGCCCUUCGGGGGAAAGCGGGGGACCUUCGGGCCUCGCACUAUUAGAGCGGCCGAUAUCAGUUAGCUAGUUGGUGGGGUAACGGCUCACCGAGGCGACGAUCCGUAGCUGGUUUGAGAGGACGACCAGCCACACUGGGACUGAGACACGGCAGACUCCUACGGGAGGCAGCAGUGGGGAAUUUUGGACAAUGGAAACCUGAUCCAGCCAUCCCGUGUGCGAUGAAGGCCUUCGGGUUGUAAAAACACUUUUGGCAGGAAAGAAACGGCACGGGAUAAUACCCCGUGCAACUGACCUGCAGAAUAAGCACCGGCUAACUACGUGCCAACAGCCGCGGUAAUACGUAGGGUGCAAGCGUUAAUCAGGAUUACUGGGCGUAAAACGUGCGCAGGCGGUUCGGAAAAGAAGAUGUGAAAUCCCGAGGCUUGCUGGAACUGCAUUUUAAUACCGAGCUAGAGUGUGUCAGAGGUGGAAUUCCGCGAUGUAGCAGUGAAAUGCGUAGAUGUGCGGAGGGAACACCGACGGCAGAGAGCAGCCUCUGGGAUAACACUGACGGCGCUCAUGCACGAAAGCGUGAGCAGCAGGAUUAAGAUGCCCUGGUAGUCCGCCUAAACGAUGUCAGCUAGCUAUUUGGGGCCGCUUGAAGCGCGGUAAGCCCACCAACUAACGCGUGAGAUUGACCGCCUGGGAAAUACGGUCGCAAGAUUAAAACUCAAAGGAAUUGACGGGGACCCGCACAAGCGGUGGAUGAUGGAUUAAUUCGAUGCAACGCGAAAAACCUUACCUACCCUUGACAUGUCUGGAAUCCCGAAGAGAUUUGGAGUGCUCGCGAAGGCGGAACACGCGAUUGCUGCAUGGCUGUCGUCAGCUCGUGUGUCGUGAGAUGUUGGGUUAAGAAUCCCGCAACGAGCGCAACCUGUGUUAGUUGCUACGAAGAGGGCACUCUAAUGAGACUGCCGGUGACAAACCGGAGGAAGGUGGGGAUGACGUCAAAGUCCUCAUGGCCCUUAUGGUGGACUUACGUCAUACAAUGGUCGGGACAGAGGGUCGCUAGCCCCGCGAGAAGGCCAAUCCCAGAAACCCGAUCACCGUCCGGAUCACCAGUCUGCAACUCGACUGCGUGAAGUCAAAUCGCUAUUAAUCGCGGAUCAGCAUGUCGCGGUGAAUACGUUCCCGGGUCUUACACCGCCCGUCACACCAUGGGUGGGGUUUGCCAAUGGAUCUUCUAACCGUAAGGAGGGCGAUUACCACGGUAAGUUCAUGACUGGGGUGAAGUCGUAACAAGGUAG
rnacentral:rRNA from 1 species